rnacentral:misc_RNA from 1 species
CUGAACUGUCGACAUGAGUUGUUGCUGGCCCUCGAAAGGGGGCACGUGCACGCUCUGUUUACACAUCCACUCACACCUGUGCACCCUCUGUAGUUCUAUGGCCUUGGGGGCCCCGUCCCCUUGCUGUGGUCCUACGUCUUUACACACACACUGUAAUAAAGUCUCAUGGAAUGUAUGUCGCGUUUAACGCAAUACAAUA